ensembl:lncRNA
UGUAAAUUUAGCUUGGAUUAGCUACUGUUUUGAAAUUAUACAGAAUAUCAAUGAAAAAUGCAAAUAAACCUAAAUGCGCAAGCAAUGCACUUAUUUUCAUAUUCAUUCAGCUUUUGUUUUUGACAUCUCUGUGGCUGCUCUGUGAACCCUGUCUUAUCCUGGGAAACCAUUUGUGAAGCUUUUAUUUGGUAUAAGUAAUUUACAAAACUACUCAUCAAGAAAUAACUGAGGCCAGAGAAAAUUUGGUUUGGUGAAAUAUAAAGGAAAGGCAUUUAUUCCUCACCUCUGAGUGUACUGUCAUCCUCCCUUCAUACCUGCCUACCCCCACUCCUGGAUCCAUAAAGCAAGCUUAUAAAAAUAUUAGCAACAAGAAAUAAUAGCUAGUAUUUGUUGAGUAUGUACCAGGCUUUGUGACAUGUACUUUAUGUGUUAUCUCAUUUGAUAUUCAUGACAACAUUUAGACAAGUUGUAUAUUAUUAUCUAUUUUAUACAUUGUAAAAAUAAAUAACAGAUGAAGUAGUUCAUAGUCACACAGCUAGAAAAUGGUUAAGUAGGAUGAAUAUUAAUCUCUUUUAGUUGUGCUUGAUUGCAAAAAUGACUCUAACCCAUCUUUUCUCUGUAUCCACACCCGCUGCACAUUGUGACUUCAAAGGUUGUCUCAUCAUGGGGUGAAGUCUGUUUUUCCAUUGUGAAUCAAAGCUUACUAUGUGACUUGCUUUGGCCAAUAGAACGUGAUGAGUGUGACUAUAUGCCACUUCAAGCUUAGGCUGCAAAAGGCAUUGUACAUUUUCAACUCAGGCUUUUGGGCCCUUACCUCUUCUAUGAGAACAAGCCAAGGCCAGCCUACUAGAAGCACUUGUACUAUGACCUGCAGAUCAAUAUGGAACAAAACAGACCUGAUCCUUGACUUCAUGGAAAUUGUUGACUAAUAGGGAAAACUGAAAGUAAACAAAUAAUCGUAUGAUGAACAUAUGGAAUUUAUAUAGUAAGUACAGGACUAACAUAUAAUAUCUACCUCAACUUAGAGGGUCAGGAAAGACAUUUAAAUGGAAUUCUAGAGCUGCACUUUCCAAUAUGGCAGUCACAUGUGGGUAUUUGCUUGGUUUUUUUUUUUUUUUUUUUUUUUGAGAUGAAGUCUUGCUCUGUCACUCAUGCUGGAGUGCAUUGGCAUUAUCUCAGCUCACUGCAAUCUCUGCCUCCCAGGUUCAAGCAAUUCUCCUGCCUUAGCCUCCCGAGUAGCUGGGAUUACAGGCGUGCACCACCAUGCUCAGAUAAUUUAUAUAUAUUUUAGCAGAAAUGGGGUUUCACCAUGUUGUCCAGGCUAGUCUCAAACUCCUGACCUCAGGUGAUCCUCCUGCCUCGGCCUCCCAAAGUGCUGGGAUUACAGAUAUGAGCCACUGCACCUGGCCUUUAUAUGUUUAAUAUUAUUUUAAGCUCAAGGGUACAUGUGCAGGUUUGUUAUAGAGGUAAAAUCAUGUCAUUGGGGUUUGUUGCACAGAUUAUUUUGUUACUGAGGUAUUAGGCCUAGUACCUAUUAGUAAUUUGUCCUGAUCCUCUCCCUCCUCACCCCCUUCACCUUCCAGUAGGCC